rnacentral:rRNA from 1 species
UACGGAGGGUGCAAGCGUUAAUCGGAAUUACUGGGCGUAAAGCGUGCGCAGGCGGUUUGUUAAAUCCGUUGUGAAAUCCCCGAGCUCAACUUGGGAAUUGCAAUGGAUACUGGCAAGCUGGAGUAUGGUAGAGGAAGGUGGAAUUCCCGGUGUAGCAGUGAAAUGCGUAGAGAUCGGGAGGAACACCAGUGGCGAAGGCGGCCUUCUGGACCAAUACUGACGCUCAUGCACGAAAGCGUGGGGAGCAAACAGG